rnacentral:rRNA from 1 species
AACGAACGCUGGCGGCAGGCCUAACACAUGCAAGUCGAGCGCACCUUCGGGUGAGCGGCGGACGGGUUAGUAACGCGUGGGAACAUACCCUUUUCUACGGAAUAGCCUCGGGAAACUGAGAGUAAUACCGUAUACGCCCUUUGGGGGAAAGAUUUAUCGGUGAAGGAUUGGCCCGCGUUUGAUUAGAUAGUUGGUGGGGUAAUGGCCUACCAAGUCUACGAUCAAUAGCUGGUUUGAGAGGAUGAUCAGCAACACUGGGACUGAGACACGGCCCAGACUCCUACGGGAGGCAGCAGUGGGGAAUCUUAGACAAUGGGCGCAAGCCUGAUCUAGCCAUGCCGCGUGAGUGACGAAGGCCUUAGGGUCGUAAAGCUCUUUCGCCAGAGAUGAUAAUGACAGUAUCUGGUAAAGAAACCCCGGCUAACUCCGUGCCAGCAGCCGCGGUAAUACGGAGGGGGUUAGCGUUGUUCGGAAUUACUGGGCGUAAAGCGUACGUAGGCGGAUUAGAAAGUAGGGGGUGAAAUCCCAGGGCUCAACCCUGGAACUGCCUCCUAAACUACUAGUCUAGAGUUCGAGAGAG